AAGUCGUAACAAGGUUUCCGUAGGUGAACCUGCGGAAGGAUCAUUAACACGUAUCCAACGUUAAAAACACCCCUGUGAACCCGUUAAACUUGCUCCUCAGGCCCUGCACGCCUAGCAAUCCCUGGUAAAUCAUUGUCUGACCAGUUUUUGAGUCAGGGACUUCUGACGUGACGCGAAGAAUGUCUGGAAAAAUGGCAUCUGCGUGAGGAGGUAAGAUGCACUUGUGCUCCCCAAGUACCCAUGUUUCUGAAAGCGGGACAUGGAAUACGUAAGGAGCGACGCUGUAACGUUUGCUGUAGGCCCACACGGCCGGCAUCAUGGUGCCUGGACUUCUGUCCCACAGAUCGGUGAAAUCCCGGUCAUGAUGUCAAUUUAGUGAGGACUAAAAGCCUCGCACCAAAAACCGAACAACUGUUAACAAUGGAUAUCUUGGUUCUC
rnacentral:misc_RNA from 1 species